ensembl:snRNA U4 U4 spliceosomal RNA
AGUUUUGUGCGGUGGCAACAUUAUAGCCAAUAAGGUUUAUCCAAGGUAUGGUUAUUGCUAAUUGAAAACUUUGAAUCAAUCCU